UACGUAGGUGGCAAGCGUUGUCCGGAUUUAUUGGGUUUAAAGGGUGCGUAGGCGGCCCUAUAAGUCAGUGCUGAAAUAUCCCGGCUUAACCGGGAGGGUGGCAUUGAUACUGAUGGACUUGAGUGGAGUCGAGGUAGGCGGAAUUGACGGUGUAGCGGUGAAAUGCUUAGAUAUCGUCAAGAACACCUAUUGCGAAGGCAGCUUACUAGGCUCUAACUGACACUGAUGCACGAAAGUGUGGGGAUCAAACAGG
rnacentral:rRNA from 1 species